GAUGAACGCUGGCGGCGGGCCUAAUACAUGCAAGUCGAGCGACGCGGGGACGGGGGAGUAACACGUGGAUAACAUCCUAUAAGACUGGGAACACAUAGGGAAACCGGUGCUAAACCGGAUUAUUAUAGCUGGAUACGCGCUGCAUUAGCUAGUUGGUAAGGUAACGGCUUACCCAGGAAACGAUGCAUAGCCGACCUGAGAGGGUGAUCGGCCACACUGGAACUGAGACACGGUCCAGACUCCUACGGGAGGCAGCAGUAGGGAAUCUUCCGCAAUGGGCGCAAGCCUGACGGAGCAACGCCGCGUGAGUGAUGAAGGUCUUCGGAUCGUAAAACUCUGUUAUUAGGGAAGCGGUACCUAAUCAGAAAGCCACGGCUAACUCCGUGCCAGCAGCCGCGGUAAUUC
rnacentral:rRNA from 1 species